AUAAAAGUGGCCCUUCCUUUAAUGUCUCUUCCUUUCUGCUUAAAUAACAUGGCAUAUGGUGAUACUGACACAUCAUGCAUAAAUAUGAGGAGUCAGUUUCAAUUGCUAUUUAAACUUGUUUCUCAUACUCUGAGAAACUGGUGUAGCAUGAAAGAAUAUUCACUAUGCAGAUCAAAUGAAUGAUCCUAAUAAAUAUAUGCAAAUUCAACCUUUUUUUUUCUCAAAAACUGAU
rnacentral:misc_RNA from 1 species